rnacentral:rRNA from 1 species
UGCCUGAUGACUAUAGCAGUCUGGUACCACCCCUUCCCAUCCCGAACAGGACCGUGAAACAGACUCGCGCCAAUGAUAGUGCGGAUCCCCGUGCGAAAGUAGGUCAUCGUCAGGCU